rnacentral:rRNA from 1 species
CACCGCGGUUAUACGAGAGGUCCAAGUUGAUAGAAACCGGCGUAAAGAGUGGUUAGGGCGCCUAUUUAAAACUAGAGCCAAACACCUUCAGAGCUGUUAUACGCACCCGAAGGCAUGAAGAACUACCACGAAAGUGGCUUUAUUUACCCUGAACCCACGAAAGCUAUGUUA